ensembl:snRNA U6 U6 spliceosomal RNA
GUGCUCAUUUCUGCAGCACACACAACAAGAACAUGCAGAGAUCAGCAUGGCCCCUGCACAAGGAUGACAUGCAAAUUCAUGAAGCAUUUUGUUUUUUU